rnacentral:rRNA from 1 species
CACGUAGGAGGCAAACGUUAUCCGGAUUUACUGGGCGUAAAGCGCGUGUAGGUGGUUCUGUAAGUUGGGUAUGAAAUCUCCUGGCUUAACUGGGAGAGGCUACACAAAACUGCAGAGCUUGAGAAUGGGAGAGGGAGGUGGAAUUCCGGGUGUAGUGGUGAAAUGCGUAGAUAUCCGGAGGAACACCAGUGGCGAAAGCGGCCUCCUAGACCAUUUCUGACGCUCAGACGCGAAAGCUAGGGUAGCAAACGGG